rnacentral:tRNA from 1 species
GAGGGUAUAGCUCAGGGGUAGAAUGCGUGCCUAGCAAGCACGAGGUCCUGAGUUCUAAUCCCCAGUACCUCCA